CUUUAUUAUAGAAGUGACUAAAGUGAUUUUAGAGAAUAGGCAAACACAACUCACUUCUUUACCUUAUAGAACACAGAGUCGGCCUACGCAAGCAUGGCUGGGCGCGCGCGUUUUGGGGUUUCGUUAAUCCCAAUUGGAGACUCUGGAUAACUUGAAGCUGAUCGCACGAUCUAGUACUGGCAAUGAAUCUUUCAAAUGUCUGCUUUAUCAACUGUCGAUGACGGGUUAUGCGCCUACCACGGUUGUUACGGGUAACGGGGAAUCAGGGUUCAAUUCCAG
rnacentral:ncRNA from 1 species